UCACUUGCCGGCUUACCGUUUCUAAGCAACGUUGCUCGCAGUUAGUCCCACACUAACUUGUCUAGUAGCUUACUAACAACCAACAUUUGUUAACAAUAACACUUUAGCGUCAUCUCAUUUCCGUCUGGCAGAAUGUGAACGCCAUAUCGGUGGUGUUUGUUGGGAACCUACAGACGUGUAGUGGGCUUAGCGCAACGCGGCUUAAGGCAGCACCUCAACAACCUGUAACUUCAGUUACGUUUUGAUUCUCAGACCAGCCGGACGUUGUGGAAAAAGUGCUCGAGGAAACAACGGUUGUGUGAAUUCGUUGCUGUCGGUUAGUGCGCGUUCGUGUGUGUGUGUGCCGUUGUGGUGUGUGUUGGGAGAGUGCCAUUGUGUAACUGUUAUCGGCGCAAUGCCUUCUUUGUAUGCUCAUUUGCUCAGCUCAGUUCAGUCAACGCGUUGGAAUUGAUUUGCAUUAAACAAAUUAGGAAUAACAGCAGUGUACGCGUAGCAGCUCAACAACGAGCACUGCACUGCUAGUAGUAAACGACAAAAACAAAAAAUCGUUUAACAAAUUACCAGAACAGCAAAAAGUAUAUAGUUCAUUUUAAGCAAAGAAGCGCAAUCAAAGCACUCGGAAUGCGAAUUUCAAGUGGCAGCAGUAGCCGCUGCGGCAGUUGGACAUCACUGCAAGGGGCGUCAGCAGCAAAGACACUAUCUGCAACAACAAUGAUUAUGACAACACGAAAGGGGCAA